rnacentral:tRNA from 3 species
GGGCCUAUAGCUCAGUUGGUUUAGAGCGCACGCCUGAUAAGCGUGAGGUCGGUGGUUCAAAUCCACCUAGGCCCACCA